rnacentral:rRNA from 1 species
ACGUAGGGCGCAAGCGUUGUCCGGAAUUAUUGGGCGUAAAGAGCUCGUAGGCGGUUUGUCGCGUCUGGUGUGAAAACUCGAGGCUCAACCUCGAGCUUGCAUCGGGUACGGGCAGACUAGAGUGCGGUAGGGGAGACUGGAAUUCCUGGUGUAGCGGUGGAAUGCGCAGAUAUCAGGAGGAACACCGAUGGCGAAGGCAGGUCUCUGGGCCGCAACUGACGCUGAGGAGCGAAAGCAUGGGGAGCGAACAGGA